rnacentral:rRNA from 1 species
GGAUAAAUUAAUAUAAAUAAAUUAAAUAUAUUUACACUAUUUUGUCUACUCCAUUUCUAUUUCUACUUUUGCCUUAUUACUAUCAAUCCUAUGUUAGAACACUUUUGCUUUUGUCUUUGCAAAGCAAAGGAAAAGUAGUAUGCUCCUCUCCCCUAAAGGAAAGACCCCUACGGGUCCUAGGGCUAAAUAUAACUGCAAAGGUGUAUAUUAAAUAUGGAAAAACAAAAAAAGUAAAAUAACUUAUUUAUAAAUAACUAUCACUCAAUCCAGUCUUAAAAUAAAAAAAAAAAGAAAAAACAAUAUAAUAAAAAUAAUAAUACAAAUUACUAUUUAUAUAAAUAAAUACUUUCUCCUUAUUUAUUAAAUAGAGGGAUUGGCUAUGCAAGAACUGGUA